CAAGAUGGGAUAAAGAGUUUUCCUUUGACUAGAUACUUCAGUUAGCACUUUUGAAUUGGAAAGACUAUUUAAAAAACUCCGGAUACAGUCAUGGAAGUCAGCAAAACGAUUUGCACUGAUGCCUGGAUGAUGGUCCAAAUGUGUGCACUAAAGCCCAGCAGCAGAUGGAAUCAUGAGAGAAUCUCCACUGUGAUUGACAUCAGGAAGGGAUCGGCUCCCAGGGACAGUGACUAUGGGUGACUCACUGUUAUCCUUCCCUGCUGGACUGCAAAUGGGUACAGUAAUAGAGGUAACCAUAGUGAGUGAUGACUUGAACCAUGAAGGAAGAGUUGGCAAGCAAAAUAAAGUCAAACAACGUCAUGAUUCAGUUUUAAAAAAAAAAGGGACACGUUGGGGAAAAUGACUUCUCUUUGUGUCGU
rnacentral:lncRNA from 1 species